GGUUACGGCUCAGAGGUAAAGCACUCGCCUAGCAUUCGAGAAGCACUGGGUUCAAGCCUCAGCACCA
rnacentral:tRNA from 1 species